UACGAAGGGGGCUAGCGUUGUCCGGAAUCACUGGGCGUAAAGGGUUCGCAGGCGGGAAUGCAAGUUAGAUGUAAAAGGCAGUAGCUUAACUACUGUAAGCAUUUGAAACUACGUAUCUUGAGAAGGGUAGAGGUAAGUGGAAUUCUGAGUGUAGCGGUGAAAUGCGUAGAUAUUAAAAAGAAUACCGGUGGCGAAGGCGACUUACUGGGCUCAUACUGACGCUGAGGUGCG
rnacentral:rRNA from 1 species